AUUGAACGCUGGCGGCAGGCCUAACACAUGCAAGUCGAGCGAGCGGCGGACGGGUGAGUAAUGUCUGGGAAACUGCCCGAUGGAGGGGGAUAACUACUGGAAACGGUAGCUAAUACCGCAUACCCUCAGAUGUGCCCAUAUGGGAUUAGCGAGUAGGUGGGGUAAUGGCUCACCUAGGCGACGAUCCCUAGCUGGUCUGAGAGGAUGACCAGCCACACGGGUACUGAGACACGGUCCAGACUCCUACGGGAGGCAGCAGUGGGGAAUAUUGCACAAGGGGCGCAAGCCUGAUGCAGCCAUGCCGCGUGUGUGAAGAAGGCCUUAGGGUUGUAAAGCACUUUCAGCGGGGAGGCGUUACUCGCAGAAGAAGCACCGGCUAACUCCGUGCCAGCAGCCGCGGUAAUUC
rnacentral:rRNA from 1 species